rnacentral:lncRNA from 10 species
GUCAUAAAGCCUCCUGUAGGCAGAGCGUAGACAAGAGUUCCCUCCCCAGGGUGAUCAGUGCAGAGAUGUGUCACAAAGCCCCUGUAGGCAGAGCGUAGACAAGAGUUCCCUCCCCAGGGUGAUCAGUGCAGAGAUGUGUCACAAAGCCCCUGUAGGCAGAGCCUAGACAAGAGUUUCAUCACUUGGUUGAUCAGUUCAGAGAUGUGUCACAAUGUCCAUGUAGGCAGAUCUAAGACAAGGGUCCAUCAUCUGGGUGAUCUUUGCAGAGAUAUGUCACAAUCCUCCAAGUAAGCAGAGCCUAGACAAAAGUUACAUCAUCUGGGCGAUCAGUGCAGAGACAAGUCACAAAACCCACAUAGGAAAAGACUAGACAAGAGUUACAUCAUCUGGGUCAUCAGUGCAGACAUAUGUCAAAGCUGCCGUAGGCAGAGUGUAGACAAGUAUUACAUCACUUGGGUGAUCAGUGCAGAGAUCUAUCACAGUGCCCCCAUAGGCAGAGCCUAGACAAGAGUUCCAUCACCUGUGUGAUCAGUGUAGAGAUAUGUCACAAUGCCUCCUGUAGGCAGAGGCUAGACAAGAGUUACAUCACCUGGAUUUUGUUUCCUGCAAUAUGUCACAAUGGCGAGGGUGAGGGUUAGGGUUAGGGUGAGGGUCAGGGUGAGGGUCAGGGUGAGGGUCAGGGUGAGGGUGAGGGUCAGGGUGAGGGUGAGGGUUAGGGUUAGGGUGAGCAUUAGGUUUAGGGUUAGGGUUAGGGUUAGGGGUUAGGCUUAGGCUUAGGGUAAGGCUUAGGGUUCAGGUUCAAGUUUGGAUUCGGGUUCGGGUUCAGGUUAAGAGUUAGGGUUAGGGUUACGGGUUAGGGUUAGGGGUUAGGGUUAGGUGUUAGGGCUGGGUUAGGUUUAGGGUUAGGGUUAUGGGUUACGGUUAGGGUUAGGGUUUAGGGUUAGGGUUAGGGUUAGGAUUGGGGUUAGGUUUAGGGUUAGGGUUAGGGUUAGGUUUAGGGUUGGGUUAGGGUUAGGAUUGGG